rnacentral:rRNA from 1 species
UACGUAGGUUGCAAGCGUUAUUCGGAGUUACUGGGCGUAAAGAGCGUGUAGGCGGUUCUUUAAGUCGAUUGUUAAAUUGCCCGGCUUAACCGGGCACCGGCAGUUGAUACUGAAGAGCUAGAGAAUAAGAGAGAGAAGUAGAAUUCUCGGAGUAGCGGUAAAAUGCGUAGAUCUCGAGAGGAAUACCUAUGGCGAAGGCAGCUUCUUGGCUUAUAUCUGACGCUAAAGCGCGAAAGCGUGGGGAGCAAACAGG